GCCUGCCCGGUGAGCUAAUUUAACGGCCGCGGUAUCUUAACCGUGCAAAGGUAGCAUAAUCAAUUGUUCUUUAAAUAAGGACUAGUAUGAACGGCAUCACGAGGGUUUAACUGUCUCCCUAUUUUAAUCAAUGAAAUUGAUCUCCCCGUGAAGAAGCGGGGAUAUAAUUAUAAGACGAAAAGACCCCAUGGAGCUUUAAACUUAAUUUUAAUUACCAAACCCAAAACAUAUACCUGGUAAAAAUAAUAACUGUUUUCGGUUGGGGCGACCCUGGAGAAAAAUUAAUCCUCCAAGCUGAAUAGACAAAAAUCUAAUGUUAGAGUAACAACUCAAACAAUCAAAACCUUGACAAAAUGACCCAGAAUUCAUCUGAUCAACGAACCAAGUUACCCUGGGGAUAACAGCGCAAUCCAUUUCAAGAGCCCAUAUCGACAAAUGGGUUUACGACCUCGAUGUUGGAUCGGGGUAUCCUAGCAGCGCAGCCGUUGCUUAAGGUUCGUUUGUUCAACGAUUAAUAACCCCACGUGAUCU
rnacentral:rRNA from 1 species